UACAGAGGUCCCAAGCGUUGUUCGGAGUUACUGGGCGUAAAGGGUGCGUAGGCGGUUGUCUAAGUUUGGUGUGAAAUCUCCCGGCUCAACUGGGAGGGUGCGCCGAAUACUGAAUGACUAGAGUGCGGGAGAGGAGAGUGGAAUUCCUGGUGUAGCGGUGAAAUGCGUAGAUAUCAGGAGGAACACCGGUGGUGUAGACGGCUCUCUGGACCGUAACUGACGCUGAGGCACGAAAAGCGUGGGUAGCAAACAGG
rnacentral:rRNA from 1 species